rnacentral:rRNA from 1 species
AUUGAACGCUGGCGGCAUGCUUUACACAUGCAAGUCGAACGGUAACAGGCCUUCGGGUGCUGACGAGUGGCGCACGGGUGAGUAAUGCAUCGGAACGUACCCAGAGGUGGGGAUAACGCAGCGAAAGCUGUGCUAAUACCGCAUGUGAUCUGAGGAUGAAAGCGGGGGACCGAGCAGCAAUGUUUGGCCUCGCGCCUUUGGAGCGGCCGAUGUCGGAUUAGCUAGUUGGUGGGGUAAAGGCCUACCAAGGCGACGAUCCGUAGCUGGUCUGAGAGGACGACCAGCCACACUGGGACUGAGACACGGCCCAGACUCCUACGGGAGGCAGCAGUGGGGAAUUUUGGACAAUGGGCGCAAGCCUGAUCCAGCAAUGCCGCGUGCGGGAAGAAGGCCUUCGGGUUGUAAACCGCUUUUGGCAGGAACGAAACGGUGUCCGCUAAUACCGGGCGCUAAUGACGGUACCUGCAGAAUAAGCACCGGCUAACUACGUG